rnacentral:rRNA from 1 species
GACGAACGCUGGCGGCGUGCCUAAUACAUGCAAGUAGAACGCUGAAGAGAGGAGCUUACUCUUCUUGGAUGAGUUGCGAACGGGUGAGUAACGCGUAGGUAACCUGCCUUGUAGCGGGGGAUAACUAUUGGAAACGAUAGCUAAUACCGCAUAACAAUGGAUGACACAUGUCAUUUAUUUGAAAGGGGCAAUUGCUCCACUACAAGAUGGACCUGCGUUGUAUUAGCUAGUAGGUGAGGUAAUGGCUCACCUAGGCGACGAUACAUAGCCGACCUGAGAGGGUGAUCGGCCACACUGGGACUGAGACACGGCCCAGACUCCUACGGGAGGCAGCAGUAGGGAAUCUUCGGCAAUGGGGGCAACCCUGACCGAGCAACGCCGCGUGAGUGAAGAAGGUUUUCGGAUCGUAAAGCUCUGUUGUAAGCCAAGAACGGGUGUGAGAGUGGAAAGUUCACACUGUGACGGUAGCUUACCAGAAAGGGACGGCUAACUACGUG